UCCUUGCUCAGUUGGUAAAGCAUGAGACUGUUAAUCCCAGAGCUGUGGGUUUGAGCCCCAUGUUGGGCACAA